rfam:Cavia porcellus supercont2_87 genomic scaffold, whole genome shotgun sequence.
UGGUGCCCAACGUGGGGCCUGAGAAUGGGGGACUUAGUGAGAGAUGCUGUUCGUGGGCCCAAAGUAGAAAAAGGAAAAGAAAAUAGAGGACCAACGUGGGAGCCUGCCACACCGCUGAACCUCGGUAAGUGAACAGCGAUUAUGGGACAAGAAAUUAGCCAGCAUGAGAUUUUUGUUGAAAAUUUAGUAAAACUUUUAAAGACACAAGGAGGUAAGGUGAAUAUUGAACAAUUAUGCCAAUGCUUUGAUUUUAUAAAAGAGGUUUGCCCUU